CUAAGACCGCAUAGGUGUAGAGAUCGCAUGAACUCUAUAUGAAAAGUGCUACGGGACUGGUAGAUGAUGGACUUAUGGCGCAUUAGCUGGUUGGUAGGGUAACGGCCUACCAAGGCGACGAUGCGUAGCCGACCUGAGAGGGUGACCGGCCACACUGGGACUGAGACACGGCCCAGACUCCUACGGGAGGCAGCAGUAGGGAAUUUUCGGCAAUGGGGGAAACCCUGACCGAGCAACGCCGCGUGAAGGAAGAAGUAAUUCGUUAUGUAAACUUCUGUCAUAGAGGAAGAACGGUGGAUAUAGGGAAUGAUAUCCAAGUGACGGUACUCUAUAAGAAAGCCACGGCUAACUACGUGCCAGCAGCCGCGGUAAUACGUAGGUGGCGAGCGUUAUCCGGAAUUAUUGGGCGUAAAGAGGGAGCAGGCGGCACUAAGGGUCUGUGGUGAAAGAUCGAAGCUUAACUUCGGUAAGCCAUGGAAACCGUAGAGCUAGAGUGUGUGAGAGGAUCGUGGAAUUCCAUGUGUAGCGGUGAAAUGCGUAGAUAUAUGGAGGAACACCAGUGGCGAAGGCGACGAUCUGGCGCAUAACUGACGCUCAGUCCCGAAAGCGUGGGGAGCAAAUAGGAUUAGAUACCCUAGUAGUCCACGCCGUAAACGAAGAGUACUAAGUGUUGGGGGUCAAAGCUCAGUGCUGC
rnacentral:rRNA from 1 species